rnacentral:lncRNA from 1 species
GGCCAUGUAAUGAGUGAGCCCAAAUCUUUCAAUACUCCUUCUUCACUUAAACUAGCCCAUCUCCUUACCCAGCCCAAACCUGGUCGACCCGACCCGACCCAAUACACAAACCCUUAUUCUUCUUAAUUAACCUAAUAAAAAAAGACCUAAAAGGCCUAAGAGAAGGGAGUGCCGCAGAGGACAAAAAGUUUUGGACCCCCCUGAUCGACGGUCUUCUUCUUCAUAGAAGAAACAACCAAAAUUCAAUGGCUUCUUCUGAAGCGAAAACCCCUAAACGCUGACACCCCAAAUGACCCCUGACUUCACCUUCUUCAACCAUCAACACAUCCACCGUCAACACCCCUCCUAGCCGCACCAGCCCUCAACGUCGACGACUUCUUCAACGCCAACCAGCGACUCCUCUCCAUGCCGCUGCUCUCUUCCCUCUUUUUAGAAAAGAACGAAAAACACACACACACAGAGUCAUAAACAGAGGUACACGGACAGAAAAUCGGAGGUAUUUUUGUACAUAAAUUAGGAAGAAAUCGGGGAAAGUUCCGAAGAGUUCAUAAAAAUCCCUGCAAAUUCAGUCCUUUUAAUGUCAUUUUUGCUUCUCAAAUCUGAAAAGAACAUACACUCUAGCUUCUGAUUUUGAUCUUCUCUUAUGGAAUCUGAUGGAGUCGAGGGGAGUUCGAUUAGGUUUUGUUCGCGGUUCCGAAUUCAAUGGUUGAUUGUUCCAUUCAGUAGAUAUGGAGCUUGUUGCUUGAUCUCCUUGCUAGUAUCACAUCCGGACAGAAGCUUAAUUGAAAACAACCCUCCGAUUUUGUGGACUUUCUUCUCUGGUCAAUGUUAUUGUUUAUCGUGAGAAUGAGAUAAAAGCUAGUUACAAUGGAAAUGAGUUCUUGGAAAGAGCAGCAGCAGGUGGUCUGGUGGAGCUAUUGCAAUGAAUGUUGAUGCUACUGCUGUGUUGCACAAGAAAACAGGAUUUGAACUUUAUUCGAAGUUGUUGUUAGUGGUGGUGUCGUUCGAGCAUUGUGGUCGCGGUUCCGUCCGAAUUUGAUUGCCAUUUCGAGUUUAGUCGUAGCUUUGCUUCAUUUCUUAUUCGGGUAAUCGUUAGAGGUUUGAAUACAUUGGAAAGCAGUCUCGGGUUCAACUCUUUCAUCCUCUAUUCGUUUGAUGCAAGCUUGGUAUUAAUUAUUUAUUUAAUGAUAUGAUCCCGUUGAUUCUGUAAUUGAUCUCCGUGGUUUUGAAUUUGCUCGCUCGGUUAUCUGCUCGUGUUUACUUGAAUUGGUUAUACCUAAGCAUGAUUUUGUCAUAGUAUAGAAAUUGGGUUGUUAUUUAUCAACUGAACUACGUCAAAUUAGAUAGAAAAGACUCGGGUGUGAAUUUCAUGUGACCCUGCCAUAAUUAUGAAUAAUAAUAAUAAUAAUAAACAUGUUAUAAAUCCGGGUGUGCAUUUCAUGUGACCCGAUUUUAAUUUCCAAUAAGGUUAAAUAGAACGUAUCGUGAACCGCAGGUGCAUUUUAUGUAGCGUGGCUUACGAUGUGUUUUAAAUAACCUUGAAUUUUCCUGAAAUAGUAAAAGCGGUUUUAAAAUUACAAAUGCCCAUAGGUUUAAAAGUGUUUUAUUAAUCAGAUAAAUAGGCCAAUAAUAAUAGUUGAGCGACCGUGCUAAAAUCACAGAACCCGGGAAUGCCUAACACCUUCUCCCGGGUUAAUAGAAUUCUUUAUCCGGAUUUCUGUGUUAGCAGGCUAUAAACAGGGUCAAUCCUCCCUCGAUUCGAGCUUUAAACUGGUGACUUGGGACACCAUAAAUUAUCCCAAGUGGCAACUCUGAAUAAAUAAAUAAAUUCCGUUUCGAUUCACUUAAAUUGGAAAAAACUCUCUUAUACCCCUCCGGGAUAAUAAAAAGGAGGUGUGACAAUUAUGUGAGUUAGAUACAGUACUAUUUUAACUUCAAUAGAGUUAUAAAAUGACUCGGAUAGGGCAUACAAACAAGAUAAGCAUUUUUUUAGUAUAUAAUAAUUUUAAAUGGGCAUUAUAUAACAGAAAAGGCAAGAAUUUUGUAUUAUAGGAUAAUCAUUUUUAACUAAUGUGAAAUUUAAUAUUUUUUUGUUGACAACAUUUGGGUUAUGGGUCAAAUUACAUUAAGAAAAAAAUGGAUCUAAAGUGGGUAUGAUUCAUUUAAGUUUAUGUGACAUUUAUUUUUGGAUUUUUCUCAUUAAAUUUUAUGUCAUGUCAUAUUUAUGGUAGGGGUUUGAGCCAAAAUGACUUUUAAGUGAUAAUAUGAAAGUUUAGUUACUUUUAAGUGACAAAAAAUAGUUAAGUGACUUUAGUGAAAUUGAAACAUAGUUGAGUGACCAUGAGUGAAAUUAACCCUAUUAUCUUGAUACGGGCGCAUAACCAGGAAGUGUGAUAGUAAUCAUAGGCCUCUUUCACAAGUAUAAACUUGUAGUCUUUCCCGGCCAGAGUCAGUUUUGUUUGUCGGAUUAGGAAUCAUAAUCACAAGAUUAAAUAUGACAUUAUUUUAUUUUGUGUGUGGUCAAUGGCGGAGCCACAUAUACUGAAGGGGUAUCAAUUGAUAUUUUUUGCCAGGAAAUUAUAAUGUAUAAUUAGAUAAAAAAAAUUAUACAUAUAGUUAUGUUGUUAUAUAUUGACUCUCUUUGAUUUUUUCGUAAGUUUACUUCUUAAUAGUUAGGCCACUUUAAUAAAAUAUAAAAAAAAAUUGGCUUCGCUAUUGCAUAGUUGAACUUCUUGUUUCGAGAUUAGCAAUCCUCAAAGGAGUUAUUGUAAGCAUAAACUUUAAUUGCAUACCAGGAUCUUGAACAUGAUAAUCUUACAGAAAAUCGUUACAGAAAACAUACAUGAAGCGGAAUCUAUUAUCUUGAAGCGGAAGCGUUAAUUGAAACUGAUUUCUCGCCCCUUGCCCUAGCUUUCAUUACCGCCGACUUUAGUGAUGGAAGAGAGAAUAAAAUGCGGUAACCCUAAUGGAUGAGGAGAGGACCAAUUUAUAGAGGUUCUUAUUUAAUCUGGUACGUCCAUCAAGUAACCGAUCGGACGGAUGAGCUUUGCUCAUCAAUUAAAUAUUAAUUAUGGGCUUGAUCUUAUUGGGCCACCAAUAAAUUAACAUAAGAAAAUCUUACAUUCUCCCAUUUGGACCAAUAAUCACAUAAUAUUAAUAUUUAAUAUAUGAACAUUAGUUGCGCAUCAACAAAUCUCUUCUAUAAUGUCCAUCAUAAAUAUCAUAAUACGAUAACCUACUAAAUGUGAGUUAUGGAUGUUAUAUAUAUAAUUUGUCUACAUACUCCCUUCCAUAUACUACAACAUUAGCAACUCAUUGUAUCAGGUCCAUAAGCUAUAAAAUAUUAUGGUCCACAAUAAUAUCUUAUUGAGACUUAUCCUGUAACAUCUCAAAACAAUAAUGUGUACACCAUUAUGAGAAACAGGAAAUCACUAAUGUAUAUCAGAAACAUAUAAAUGAGCUCAGAGUGUCAAAACAUCAUAAAUACAUCAAUCAUAAAUACAGUCAAGACUCAUUCUAUGUACAUGUUCUUUAAAUAUCUUUGGCUGUAAACCUUUUGUUAACGGAUCUGCAAUCAUGAGAUCAGUUCUAAUAUGCUCAAGUGAUAUUCUUUGUUUCUGAACUUCCUCCUUGACGGUAAAGUACUUUAAUUCCAUAUAUUUGGCACAUUUGGAGUACUUAUCGUUCUUGGAGAAGAAUACUGCUGCAAAAUUAUCACAGUAAAUUUUCAGCGGCUUGGUAAUGGUGUCGACAACCCCAAGUCCUGAAAUAAACUUUCGCAGCCAUAAUGCAUGAAUUGUGGCUUCAAAACAUGCCACAAAUUCUGCCUCCUUCGUGGAUGUAGCAAUGACAGACUAUUUGUCACUCUUUCAUGAUAUUGCUCCUUCAGCUAAUUGGAACAAAUAACCAAACGUGGAUUUUCUAGUAUCAAUACAUCCUGCGAAAUCUGAAUUUGAGUAUCCAACAAAUUCCAAAUGCUUGGAUCUUCUAUACAUGAGCAUGUAAUCCUUCGUUCCUUUCAGGUACCUCAAAACUUUCUUUGCAGCUUUCCAAUGAUCAAUUCCUGGGUUACUCUGAUAUCUUUCCGACAUUCCGAUCGCAAAACUAAUAUCCGAUUUUGUGCAAGUCUAAGCAUACAUCAGACUACCAACAAUUGAAGAGUAACGAAUUGAUUCCAUUUCUUUUCGCUCUACAUCAUUCUUAGGACAUUGCAUGAGACUAAAUUUGUCCCCUUUUUGAAUUGGAACAAUUCCUGCUGAACAUUGUUCAUGUUAAAUCUGUUUAGAAUUCUUUUGAUAUAGCCUUUCUGAGGUAAUCCCAAUAAUCCUUGUGAUCUAUCACGAAAUAUUUCUAUUCCUAUAACAUAGGAUGCCUCACCCAUAUCUUUCAUUUCAAAAUUCUUACAGAGAAAUUUUUUAGUCUCACACAAUAUGCCUAAAUCAUUAGCAGCAAGUAGAAUAUCAUCAACAUAUAGGACUAAAAAUAUAAACUUGCUCCCACUGAUCUUUUGGUAUAUACACCGAUCAACGGUAUUUUCCACAAAUCCAAAAGAUGUUAUGGUAUCAUUAAACUUUAUAUACUAUUGUCGUGAAGCUUGUUUAAGUCCAUAUAUUGACUUCUUCAGUUUACACACCAUUUGACCUUUUUCUUUAGUUUUGAAACCCUCUGGUUGGUACAUAUACACUUCCUCCUCGAGAUCUCCAUUAAGAAAGGCAGUUUUCACAUCCAUUUGUUAUAACUCUAAAUCAUAAUGAGCCACCAAAGCCAUAAUAAUUCUUAACGAGUCUUUCUUUGAGACCAGUGAAAAAGUCUCUUUAUAAUCAAUGUCUCCUUUCUGAGUAUAACCCUUGGCAACAAGUCUGGCUUUGUAUCUCUCAAUAUUGCUAUUUGAAUCGCGUUUAGUCUUAAAGACCCAUCUACACCCGAUUCUUUUAGAACUUUCUGGCAAUUCAACAAGAUCCCAAACUUCAUUGUAUUCCAUGGAUUUUAACUCUUCCUUCAUGGCAUCAAUCCAUUUGUCAGACUCAUUACUUUCUAUGGCUUGUGAAAUGAAACCGGGUCCUUAUUAAGACCAAUGUCAAAAUCUGACUCUUGCAAAUAAAUCACGUAAUCAUCCGAAAUAGCCGAUUUUCUAACUCUUUGAGAUUUUCUUAAUGGCAUUUCUUGUGGUUCAUUUGUGUCAGAUAUUUGUGAGUUAGUUUCUUCAUUAAGUGUUUCAUCCAAAUGUUGCUCGGUGUUGUGAAAGUGUUCUUCAACAACUGGAACAAUAUUUGGUAUUUGUGUGGAAGUAGGCACAUUUCUGGGUAAUAAAAUAUUGACCCUCACUUCUUUAAUUUUCACACUUUGCUUUUUAACACUCCCACUAACCUCACCAUUCUCAACGAAUCUUGUAUUACCGGUUUCAACAAUUCUUGAACUAUGGUUUGGACAGUAAAACACAUACCCUUUAGAUUUCUCUGGGUAACCAAUAAGGUAACCACUUACUGUUCGAGAAUUUAAUUUCUUUUCUUGUGGAUUAUAGGCUCUAGCUUCCGCUGGGCAACCCCAAACAUGCAAGGGCCUUAAACUAGGUUUCUUCCUGUCCACAGUUCAAAAGGGGUCUUUAGAACUGCCUUACUAGGAACCCUAUUUAAUAAAUAUACAGCGGUUUUAAGAGCAUACAUCCACAAUGAUUUGGGUAAUGAGGAAUUACUUAUCAUGCUCUGAACCAUAUCCAUAAGUGUUCGAUUACGCCUUUCUGCAACACCAUUUUGUUGAGGUGUUCCUGGCAUAGUAUAUUGUGCACAUAUGCCACGUUCCUCGAAGAACUUUGCAAAUGGACCUGGACAUUGUCCUGACUCAUUAUAUUUUCCAUAAUAUUCACCACCUCUAUCUGACCUAAUGAUUUUCACCUUUUUAUCUAAUUGCCUCUCAACCUCAUUAACAAACACCUUGAGAGCAUCUGCUGGUUGAGAUUUUUCUUUCAGCAAAUAGAUAUAUCCAUAACGUGAAAAAUCAUCGAUAAAAGUGAUAAAAUAUUUCUCUCCACCAAAAGAUGGAACAUCCAAGGGUCCACAAAUGUCGGUGUGUAUAAUUUCAAGAAGUUGGGUGCUUCUUGUGACACCUUUCUUACUAUGCUUGGUUUGCUUUCCCUUAAUGCAAUCCAAACAUAUAGUAAGAUCAGUAAAAUUUAGAUUCGGAAGAAUCUCAUUCUUUACUAAUCUCUCUAACCUUUCUUUGGAUAUAUGACCUAAACGUCUAUGCCACAAGUAAGCAGAACUUUCAUCUAGUGAACUACGUUUAAUUCCAACAUUAUGUUGAACAUUAAGAAGGGAUUCAGAAAAACCAAUAUCGAGUUUCAAUUUAUAUAAACCAUCACUAAGAAAACCAGAACCAUAAAAAAUAGCAUUUUUAUAUAAAUUGAAACAUCCAUUUCCAAACUUUAAAUCAAAUCCAAAAACAUCAAGUCUUGAAGGAGAAAUCAAAUUCCUAGAAACUGAAGAUACAUAAAGAGUCUGUAAUAGAUCAAGGUGACGUCCAGUCUCCAUGAUCAAACGAUAAGUCCCUAUGCCUUCAAUUGGAGCUUUCAUACGAUUUCCCAUGAACAAGAAAUCCUUAUUUGGAUUUGUAGUUUGGAUCAUAAGGAAUCCCUGCAACGUAGUAGAUACAUGAGCAGUUGCACCAGAAUCAAGCCACCAAGUAUUAUUAGGAAUUUCUACUAAAUUUGAUUCGAAACAUACAAAAGCACUAAUUGUACCUUUCUUUUCGAACCAAGUUUUACGUUUCAGGCAAUCUUUCUGAUAGUGUCGUUCCUUAUUACAGAAACGACACGUAUCUGCCUUNNNNNNNNNNNNNNNNNNNNNNNNNACCCAUCAAACUUCAUGGUCGUGAGUUCAGCCAUUAGUGUACUAGCGAGAGACUUAUCAGCAAAACGAAAACGUUCUUCCACAAACUUCAGGUAUUCCCUGGCACUUUCUGUUUGUGGAAUAGUACUCUUAAUGUUGUUGGCAAUAUUCAUUCGCAUAAACAUAACGCUUAGCAUGUUAGAGCGUUCCCAUGCUUUAUGGAAAGACUUCUUAUCCGCACUGCUCAAAUCAGUAAUGGCAGCGGGCUUAUCAUUCAGCAGAGCCAAGUCAAGAUCCAUCACACCUAAGUGGAACUGGACUUGUUCACGCCAUUUAGAGAAGUUCAAUCCGUUGAAUACAGUAACAGACGAAGCAAGCUAAUGAAAAGGAAUAGCUGCAAAAUAGAUAAUACAUGAUCACAAAUCAAUAUGGAUUCAACAAAACAGUUAAAGCAUAUCGCAAUUCACCUUUGGAUAAAUACUAUGACACACUAUCAUAAUUUAAAUGCUAUUUAGUCUUUAAUAGGUAAUUAAAUAUUUUUAACCAAAUAUAUAUGUCAUCUUUAGACAGACAAUAUAUAUUUGACUAAGAAUAUUAAUUUACCUCGUCAUAUUCACUAUUCAUAGAAUAAUUGAUUCACCUUUGGGUAAAUCCUUAAGUUCUAGCAAUAGUAAAAAUUAAUUUAUCCACUAAUUUUUUAAAUAUAGACAUUUCAUUAAAUUAUAAUUUUAUUUAUGCAUAUUUUCAUAAACAAACUAGUUUGGCCACUUUGGUGACUAACAAACUAUAUAACAUAAGUGCACACACAAAAUAGAGAUCAUAAGAUUUUAUGCAUGUGAAUACUUUAAACAAUCUAGUUUGGUCACUUUGGUGACUAACAAACUAUAUACACAUUAAUCACAUACAUAAAAUAAAAAUAAUAAAUGAGUUUAUCAAUUUAAUAACCAAAUACAUCAUAUGGCCCGAAACAAGAAAUACUUUAUUGCCCAGAAUAACUUAACAAUACUAAAACAUAUAGGCAAUUUGAUCGGACAAAAUUUUAACAAACAUAAGUGAUCCAACUUAACAUAAUUAUCCAAUGAAAUUCAUUAAUAUAUUGAAAGCCUUUGUGUACCGUGACGAGAUUCUAGGGUAAUCUGAUCCCACAGGUUUGUAUUCCCAGUAUAAAUAUUAAUUACUUACCUUAUUCAUUGGUCAAUUAUCCUUAAUUGUGUAGUACUACUUUAUGGGUGCCUUAUUAAUUUUGAUGUCAGAGGAAACUUAAGGAAAAUAUAAUCACAUAGCCGCCAGAAACUUAAGACAAGGAAUAACUUUAGUGUCUAUUGCUAAUUAAACUGUAAUCCACACUCUUCAUCAUCUUUUUCUAAUUUAAACAUCAAAUAUCUAUUCAAACCAAGCAAAGGUGCUUACAAGACACGAAGAGUGAAAUACAGAGAUGAAACCGAUUAAUUUGAUGAUCCAUAUAAGACGAUUUGUCCAUGAACAGAAACCUCACAUAUAUCAUU